rnacentral:lncRNA from 1 species
AAUAAUUUUCAUUAAGAACUUUGAACAAUGUAAACAUAUCAAUAUCAUUUCAGAUGGGGUACCUAACAAAAAAAAAAGAUAUGGUAAGUAUUUUUUUUAUAUAAGAUGUUCGGUAAUAUAAAUUGAAAACAAAUGCGGUAUCAUAUAAUUGCGAAUUAAGAAGUUUAAAGAAAAUUGUUAUCCUGACAACCAAGAAUAACAAAAGGCUAUUUUUCUAAACAGUUUUUGGGCUUCAUUUUCACAAAAAAUUAAUGUGAAUCUCAGUUGAAAAACGCGCGGUUUUCGAACGACUUACAAGUAUCAUGUUCACCACAGAAUAAUUUGUAAACUACGAGAGUUUAUUAUUUAUUGUAUGCAUGUAUUGUUUUGUUAACAAAUAAUAACUGAACGAACGUAAUUAUUUCGAAUAUUUGGAGAAAAAAAACACAUUAAAACUACAAACCAUUAAUUUUAAAACAAAUGAUUGAAAUAUUAAAGAACUUAUCAUCUUUCAAAAAUAUGUGACAUAGUACAACAACUAGAAAAUAACGAAAUGUAUAUUUUUAAUAUUUAAAGGUAGAGUAAAAAUUACAUGAAUGGUACAAUUACAUGAAUGGUACAAACUUUAUUACACAAUAUUCGAAUUUAGGCAAUAAACGUCUCUUCAGUGAAGGUCGAAACAUAACGUUUAAAAAUCGACACUUCUUCAAAAUCUACAAAGCUAAUUAUAAUAAAAUAUACAAAAAGUACAGCCAAAGCGUCGAUUGCCAAAAAAUAAUAAUACUGGAAUGUAGUUCAUUUAAACAUUUUUUGAAAUGCAAUAUUUGAAAAUUCGAUUGUCACAGUAGCUGAUGUUUCCAGAUUUCAAAAUGUCAAUAGAAAUAAACAAUGCCAACAGCUUUAAACUUGAAAGCUGUCAUAUUUUAUACAUAUAUUUCAUUUAACCUUGAAUAUUUCACAAAUCUUGAAUGUUGACAUACAAAUAUCAAAUCGACUAGCAGAUAAUUUAAACAGACCAUUCUCUAGAUUUUACAGAUAAUUCCUAUUUUUUUUUUAAUGUUUUAGGUACAGAAAAGGUUUCUGAAAAUAAAGCAAUCGACAAGAAUUCAAACAGUGCAGCAUUUAAUUCUAUACAUGUUGUUUUAAUUACAUGUAUUUGUGUAUUUGUGUCGUGUAAUAGCUGAUAGUAAUAGAGACGGACAAAAUAGAUUCCUUAACAAACCUAUGUGCCUUUCCUCCAGUGGUGUUUGUGCUCAGGACAUUAAAGGCCGAGAGGACAUUAAAGGCCGAGUUAUAAAUUCUGUGGUAUGUAAUAAGAUAAAUGCAUUCCAGAAAGGCUUUAAAUCGAGAUGAUGUGAUAGCACUCUGGACGAUGAUUAAAUUACUGAAAUGCAGGAUCCAAUAUAUGAUGGAUGAGAUGUAACAUUGAUGUGCCAUAAAAACUAGACUUCAACACUAUUUGUAUUCAUACAGCAA